UUUGCCGUUCUGUUUCUCUUCCUCGCCACCAACUCUGUCUUCAUUUCUUCUCCCUCCGCUUACCUCUGUCUCUGCCUCCUACUCCAAACGCAUCAAGGUUCCAUUCUUAUCGCUUUUUCUAUGAAAACUACAUGGAGUUUUGAUGAAGCUCUUGGUACAUAUUUGCAUGUAUGAGGUGUAAUUUCAUCCAGAAAACAUUGUAUAACAACUGAAGAAAUGAAAUUGAAGAAAAUGAGGCUGGUAGUUCACGAAAAUGUGUCAUUAGUACCGAAUGCUUAUCCAUUGUAACAUUUGUAUUUUGCGGGCCAACAUACAUGAAAGAAAAACAUUUUUAGCAAAACCAUUAAAAGAACAGUUUAUUCUGUUUAGACCAUAGCUUUGGAUUUUAUUAAUGUGAGAUUGAUCCUCUUGAAUGCCCCCAAAUAAUUUAGAAUUAAAGGCCUAUAUUGAUAUUGAACAAAAUAAAAAGGGGAGUCCUAUGGUUUCCUGAGCCAUACAACAUCAUCUUAGUUUGAAUAUAGUUUGGGGAGGAGGGGCAGAAUGGGACUUAAUGGCAUGUUAUUUGUUAUUGUUGUUGUAUUGUCAUCCAUGUUAUUCAUUCACCUGCUUGGGCACAUUUUUGUUCAUUGUUGUCUUGAAGAUGGGACGGUUGUUCACCGUGGAAGGUUAUUUCUGUCCUGCAUUGGCCAAGGCUGUGAUGACAAUGAAGAAGGGAGAGAAUGGAAGACCAGCAUCAGGUGAUGAAGGUGCCGUGCCUCGGAAUGCUUCUCUGCAAAAACCAAGGAUAAGAAGGUUCUCAAGAAGACCCUGAAGGAGGGAGAGGGAUAUGAACGUCCCAAUGAUGGAGCUGUGGUUCAAGUGAAACUUAUUGGUAAGGUGCAAGAUGGGACUGUUUUCGUGAAGAAGGGUGAGGAUGAUGAGCAGCCAUUUGAGUUCAAAAUUGACGAGGAGCAAGUGAUUGAUGGACUUGAUAAAGCUGUAAUGAACAUUUAAAAAGCGGAAGUUGCACUGGUGACCAUACAUCCUAAAUACACUUUUGGCUCAUCUGGGUCAACUCAGAAGAGUACAUUAGUGCGAUCCAUUCUCAAGUAGAAUGAGUGGUAUGAGUGGUGAUUGUCUCAAGUUGUGAAGUCGUGUAUUUGAGUAUGCGGUCUAAGAUUUUAUUUAGGAACUUAGGAUGCACAAAAUCCAAGUACUUCUUAAUGCUUGUUAAGUAUGCACAAGUUAUCAUUAGACUAUGAUA